GCAGCAGCCGCGGGAAUACGAAGGGGGCUAGCGUUGUUCGGAAUCACUGGGCGUAAAGCGCACGUAGGCGGACCUUUAAGUCAGGGGUGAAAGCCUGGAGCUCAACUCCAGAACUGCCUUUGAUACUGGAGGUCUCGAGUGUGGAAGAGGUUGGUGGAACUGCGAGUGUAGAGGUGAAAUUCGUAGAUAUUCGCAAGAACACCAGUGGCGAAGGCGGCCAACUGGUCCAUUACUGACGCUGAGGUGCGAAAGCGUGGGGAGCAAACAGGAUUAGAUACCCGUGUAGUCCCUGUCUCUUAUAC
rnacentral:rRNA from 1 species